rnacentral:rRNA from 1 species
UAGGGAAUCUUCCACAAUGGACGCAAGUCUGAUGGAGCAACGCCGCGUGAGUGAAGAAGGUUUUCGGACCGUAAAGCUCUGUUGUUGGUGAAGAAGGAUAGAGGUAGUAACUGGCCUUUAUUUGACGGUAAUCAACCAGAAAGUCACGGCUAACUACGUGCCAGCAGCCGCGGUAAUACGUAGGUGGCAAGCGUUGUCCGGAUUUAUUGGGCGUAAAGCGAGCGCAGGCGGAAGAAUAAGUCUGAUGUGAAAGCCCUCGGCUUAACCGAGGAAUUGCAUCGGAAACUGUUUUCUUGAGUGCAGAAGAGGAGAGUAGAACUCCAUGUGUAGCGGUGGAAUGCGUAGAUAUAUGGAAGAAUACCAGUGGCGAAGGCGGCCCUCUGGUCUGCAACUGACGCUGAGGCUCGAAAGCAUGGGUAGCGAACAGGAUUAGAUACCCUGGUAGUCCAUGCCGUAAACGAUGAGUGCUAAGUGUUGGGAGGCUUCCGCCUCUCAGUGCUGCAGCUAACGCAUUAAGCACUCCGCCUGGGGGAGUACGACCGCAAGGUUGAAAC